rnacentral:tRNA from 1 species
GGGCAUAUAGCUCAGUCGGUAGAGCAGACGACUCAUAAUCGUCCGGUCACUGGUUCGAAUCCAGUUGUGCCCACCA